rnacentral:rRNA from 1 species
GACGAACGCUGGCGGCGUGCUUAACACAUGCAAGUCGAACGAAGUGGCGAACGGGUGAGUAACGCGUAAUCAACCUGCCCUUCCGAGGGGGACAACAGUUGGAAACGACUGCUAAUCCCGCUUACUGACGGAGGGGAUUGCGUCUGAUUAGCUCGUUGGAGGGGUAACGGCCCACCAAGGCGAAGAUCAGUAGCCGGUCUGAGAGGAUGAACGGCCACAUUGGGACUGGGACACGGCCCAGACUCCUACGGGAGGCAGCAGUGGGGAAACUUCCGAAAUGGACGAAAGUCUGACGGAGCAACGCCGCGGGAGGGAUGACGGCCUUCGGGGUGUAAAGCUCUGUUAAUCGGGACGCGGUACCGGAAUAGAAAGCCACGGCUAACUACGUGCCAGCAGCCGCGGUAAUAC